UUCCACCCAAUCUGACUGUUCCACAGGAAAAAUCACCAUUGGUCACCAGAGAAGGAGACACAAUAGAACUGCAAUGUCAAGUAACUGGCAAACCUAAACCAAUCAUCCUUUGGUCUAGAGCGGAUAAAGAAGUUGCAAUGCCUGAUGGAUCAAUGCAAAUGGAGAGUUAUGAUGGAACACUGAGGAUUGUGAAUGUAUCUAGGGAAAUGUCAGGAAUGUACAGAUGUCAGACCAGCCAAUACAAUGGAUUUAACGUGAAACCAAGGGAAGCCUUGGUGCAGCUCAUCGUUCAGUAUCCCCCUGCAGUGGAACCAGCAUUCUUGGAAAUCCGGCAAGGACAGGAUCGAAGUGUCACUAUGAGUUGCAGAGUACUGAGAGCCUAUCCAAUACGGGUGCUGACCUAUGAGUGGCGCUUGGGCAAUAAAUUAUUACGGACGGGUCAAUUUGACUCUCAGGAAUACACAGAGUACGCUGUGAAGAGUCUUUCCAAUGAAAACUAUGGGGUUUAUAACUGUAGCAUCAUAAAUGAAGCUGGAGCUGGGAGAUGCAGCUUUCUUGUUACAGGAAAGGCCUAUGCUCCAGAAUUCUAUUAUGAUACCUACAAUCCAGUAUGGCAGAACAGACACCGUGUUUAUUCUUACAGUCUACAGUGGACACAGAUGAAUCCUGAUGCAGUGGAUCGGAUUGUUGCAUACCGGUUGGGCAUCAGGCAG
rnacentral:circRNA from 1 species